AUAUAUAUAUAUAGGUAAUGAUUGCAAAUAUAACUAUAUAAUGAAUACAUGAGCCUUUGUCAGGGGAAGCAAUGCAGUGUCGUCAAUAAAAGAGUUGCGUAUUAUACAUAUAUCUAUCAAGGAUGAUCCAUUCUAUGGGAUCGUUUAAUCAUUUUAUGUUGUGUACUUGUAUUUGCGCAUAUAUAUGUAAUUCUUUUUCUAUUUUCACUUAUCGUUCGCUUAUUCGUCAAAUUUCUUUAAAUAUAAAGAAAAAAGAAAAAAAGGGAAAAGAGAAAACAACAAGUUUCGUUUUCUUUUUUAUAUCGUUGUCGUUCCAUUUCCCCUGUUCCUUUCAUUUUUCAAAAAUAAUGAAAAGAAAAUGCUCAAAAUCAUUAAAAGACAAUAUUGGCCUCGAUCGGUAAAGGUGAUAGCAACUAAGAGGACAAUGAAAAAUCUCAAGCUGCCUUCUAUACAUUUUAAGUCAUCACGUUUUAUAAAUCAAUUGAAUCAUUCGACCAUGUGAAGUAAUAUAUAUUUAAUAAACACUUAGAGAAUGUAACUUUCUCUGAUAGUAUGCAAUAAUUUUUGUAUUUCUUGAUAAUCGCAUUGAAAUACCAACCUCGUAAUCGUUCCAAAAGGCAUCCAUUGUCGUUUUUUAUUAUUAGAACCAAUGAAAACAAUUUCGAUACAUUAUUCAUGAUGAGUACGAGAUUAGUCUCUAUUUCUUUAUUAUUAUUAUUUUUUUUUAUAUUUUCUAUUUUUUUUUUUUUUUUUUUAUAUAUAUAUAUAUUUUUUUUUCUUUACAAACUAGCCCUUAGUUUGAUAUGGGUAAUAGAAAUCAUGUUUCUUCGUUCUCCUUUAUUCUAAUUUUCUUCACCGUCCAAAGUAACGUUCAUGGGUGAUUUUUAAUGAGUAUAUUUUAUACUUCUCUCUUUUUCGCGUAUCACGAAGUUUCCUUUCUUACAUUUAAUUCGAUUUUGUCCCUUGCUCGAGCAUCUCCAUGGAUAAUAGGAUUUUAUAAUUGAACAAGUUUCUCAAUAACCUCAAUGUGACGGAUAAAAAGGAUGAUUGAACGAAAAAAGUGUCAUUUAAUUCUAAGAUUGUUCAAUUUGGAAAUAUUAUGAUGUGUUCGAGCAAAGUUUAAAAAUUACCCAAUAUCUAUGUAUAUUUCUAAGGCUAAGGCUUCCUGUACAAAAUGAUGUCACAUGCUUAGAUCAUCAA